rnacentral:rRNA from 1 species
GACGAACGCUGGCGGCGUGCUUAACACAUGCAAGUCGAACGGUGAAGGAGAGCUUGCUCUCCGGAUCAGUGGCGAACGGGUGAGUAACACGUGAGCAAUCUGCCCCUCACUCUGGGAGUAACCUCGGGAAACCGAAGCUAAUACCGGAUACGACGCGCGAAGGCAUCUUCUGCGCGUGGAAAGAACUUCGGUGAGGGAUGAGCUCGCGGCCUAUCAGCAGUUGGUGAGGUAACGGCUCACCAAGGCGACGACGGGUAGCCGGCCUGAGAGGGUGACCGGCCACACUGGGAC